rnacentral:rRNA from 1 species
UACGGGGGGAGCAAGCGUUGUUCGGAAUUACUGGGCGUAAAGCGCGCGUAGGCGGAUAUUUAAGUCAGGGGUGAAAUCCCGGGGCUCAACCCUGGAACUGCCUUUGAUACUGGAUAUCUGGAGUUCGGGAGAGGUGAGUGGAAUUCCGAGUGUAGAGGUGAAAUUCGUAGAUAUUCGGAGGAACACCAGAAGCGAAGGCGGCUCACUGGCCCGAUACUGACGCUGAGGCGCGAAAGCGUGGGGAGCAAACAGG